rnacentral:rRNA from 1 species
UUGGAGGGCAAGUCUGGUGCCAGCAGCCGCGGUAAUUCCAGCUCCAAUAGCGUAUAUUAAAGUUGUUGUGGUUAAAAAGCUCGUAGUUGAACCUUGGGCCUGGCUGGCCGGUCCGCCUCACCGCGUGUACUGGUCCGGCCGGGCCUUUCCCUCUGUGGAACCCCAUGCCCUUCACUGGGCGUGGCGGGGAAACAGGACUUUUACUGUGAAAAAAUUAGAGUGCUCCAGGCAGGCCUAUGCUCGAAUACAUUAGCAUGGAAUAAUAGAAUAGGACGUGUGGUUCUAUUUUGUUGGUUUCUAGGACCGCCGUAAUGAUUAAUAGGGACAGUCGGGGGCAUCAGUAUUCAAUUGUCAGAGGUGAAAUUCUUGGAUUUAUUGAAGACUAACUACUGCGAAAGCAUUUGCCAAGGAUGUUUUCAUUAAUCAGGAACGAAAGUUAGGGGAUCGAAGACGAUCAGAUACCGUCGUAGUCUUAACCAUAAACUAUGCCGACUAGGGAUCGGACGGUGUUAUUUUUUGACCCGUUCGGCGCCUUACGGGAAAC